rnacentral:lncRNA from 1 species
UUUGCCUUCUUUUUCUUCAUCUUUUAUUUUUCCUGUUGAGUAUGAUUGUUGAAUAGGGGGCUUGCUUUGAUUUCAAAUUGUGUUGUCACUAUCUUGACUUGCAAGCAGAAGUUGUGGGUUCAUAAUCUAAAAAAAUCAGUUGGUUUUGAAUAUUAUGAAUUCAUACAUGUGUGUAUUUUAUUUGUUUGUCGUAGACUUUUGGGAAUCUUGUUGCUAAGCACGAUUUAGGUAUGGAAGUUUAUUCCGUGUAUAUGUGGAUCUGUUGAUAUCAAACAUGGCAUUUCUUAUCACUUUUUGUUUCUUUUCUUAAUCCAUAACGGAUUUGAAUUUCUAGCGAUCACCCUUUGGUGUUUAAUGUGUGGUUUGAAUUGAAUGAAUCUUGGCCGGAAAAUUAACUUAUUUAUUUGGGAGAUAUAUUGGGCAAAUCAAAAGAGCUGUUUUAGACUUUUUGAUUUUUUUUCAAGUUAGCUGUUGAAGUAGUGAAGCUAUUGAGUGGAGCGAAAAAAAAUAAAACAAAAAUGCAAUCUGUAAGAUUAUCUCGGGGUUGAAAAUCCGAGUUCGCAAGUAGAAUGAACAUGUGAUCCUAUUGUCUUUAAGAUUGUACUACGUCGUUCAUUCUUCGUGGGUUCACUUUAUGAAUGCCACCCUUUCCCAAGUUUCUAUACCUGCAUUCUAGCUUUUUCUUGUCAUUAAGUUUUGAAAGAAAAGAACUAGUCAUCGUUUAGGUAAAAUAUUGGCGAACUAUUGCUUAGUAAUAAUAAUCUUUCACUUUGCUGAUAACCAUUGUUAUACUAGCAUGCUAAAUGAGUGUUAUUUUCCUUAAUUGGUGUCAAGUAUCAGCCUUUUCGUGUGUUCAUAAUUUCCUCUUCUUUUGGUUUGCUAAAAGUUUAAUGAUCCUAAGUUACUGCUUCUUUCUUUUUCAAAAU